AUGACAACAAUUUCGAGAGGAACGCCCACCUGGAGUGAGAAGUUAGCCGACAAAAUUAAACCCAAUUUGAUCAACCGGGAAGGGACUAAUGACAAACUCCGUUCCAAAUAUGGAUCGUAGUUGUUCUGCAAGUAUUCAAAUCAACAGCACAAGGAUUUUCAGCGCAACGAACCGAUCGAUCGAUCCAAAGAUGCAAAGAAACUGAAAUGGGUCCCGUGUGAGGCUGAAGAGAAUCAUGAUUCAACUGCAGUUGAAUUCGGUCAAAAUCAGCAACAGAAGAAAGCUGCACAAUACCUCUAUCACAAGCUUGGAAUUUAAAUGAUCACACCGAAAAAUGUUACAUAAUUUCGAGGCCAUCAUUCCUCAGAAUUCAAGGGUCG